CAGUCGAGGGGCAGCGGGGUAGGAAGCUUGCUUUCUGCCGCCGGCGACCGGCGCACGGGUGAGUAACACGUAUGCAACCUGGCCGUGACAGAUGGAUAACCGGGAGAAAUCCCGCCUAAUACAACAUAAUGCCGGGAGGGGACAUCCCCUGCCGGCCAAAGGGGGCGACCCCGGUCACGGAUGGGCAUGCGGCGCAUUAGGUAGUUGGUGGGGCAACGGCCCACCAAGCCGACGAUGCGUAGGGGUUCUGAGAGGAAGGUCCCCCACAUUGGAACUGAGACACGGUCCAAACUCCUACGGGAGGCAGCAGUGAGGAAUAUUGGUCAAUGGCCGGAAGGCUGAACCAGCCAAGUCGCGUGAGGGAAUAAGGCCCUACGGGUCGUAAACCUCUUUUGCCAGGGAGCAAUGCCGUCCACGUGUGGACGGAAGGAGAGUACCUGGAGAAAAAGCAUCGGCUAACUCCGUGCCAGCAGCCGCGGUAAUACGGAGGAUGCGAGCGUUAUCCGGAUUUAUUGGGUUUAAAGGGUGCGUAGGCGGCCUGCCAAGUCAGCGGUAAAAUUGCGGGGCUCAACCCCGUACAGCCGUUGAAACUGCCGGGCUCGAGUGGGCGAGAAGUAUGCGGAAUGCGUGGUGUAGCGGUGAAAUGCAUAGAUAUCACGCAGAACCCCGAUUGCGAAGGCAGCAUACCGGCGCCCGACUGACGCUGAGGCACGAAAGUGCGGGGAUCAAACAGG
rnacentral:rRNA from 1 species